CCCUAAAAUACCAAAUUGGUAUUCAAAACCCCAAUCAAGUCUUUUGCUAACAUCCAACAAAAAUCUAGCAUGUCCUAUUCUCUUUUGUCUUUCCUUUCUUUUCUUUCUCGAGCUCUUAAUCAUUUUGGUGUCCAUGGAUUAUUCAGGGAAAUAUUUUAUCAUCUCUCAACCACUCAUAUAAAUGAAUCUUAAAUUUCCUCUCCCUUUCAUGUGAAAACAGUAUCCCCUCUCCUUGUGUUGCAGCCCCUACUUUUUUUGUUCAAGC
rnacentral:lncRNA from 1 species